GAUGAACGCUGGCGGCGUGCUUAACACAUGCAAGUCGAACGGAAAGGCCAGUGCUUGCACUGGUACUCGAGUGGCGAACGGGUGAGUAACACGUGGGUGAUCUGCCCUGCACUUCGGGAUAAGCCUGGGAAACUGGGUCUAAUACCGGAUAGGACAAUGGUUUGGAUGCCGUUGUGGAAAGUUUUUUCGGUGUGGGAUGAGCUCGCGGCCUAUCCGCUUGUUGGUGGGGUAAUGGCCUACCAAGGCGUCGACGGGGAGCCGGCCUGAGAGGGUGUACGGGCGCAUUAGGACUGAGAGACGGCCCAGACUCGUACGGGUGGCAGAAGGGGGGAAGAUUGCACAAUGGGCGCAAGCCUGAUGAAGCGAGGCCGCGGGGGGGAUGACGGCCUUCGGGGUGUAAACUCCUUUCGCUAGGGACGAAGCGUAUUUGUGACGGUACCUAGAGAAGAAGCACCGGCUAACUACGUG
rnacentral:rRNA from 1 species